rnacentral:rRNA from 1 species
AUUGAACGCUGGCGGCAGGCCUAACACAUGCAAGUCGAACGGUAACAGGAAGCAGCUUGCUGCUUUGCUGACGAGUGGCGGACGGGUGAGUAAUGUCUGGGAAACUGCCUGAUGGAGGGGGAUAACUACUGGAAACGGUAGCUAAUACCGCAUAACGUCGCAAGACCAAAGAGGGGGACCUUCGGGCCUCUUGCCAUCGGAUGUGCCCAGAUGGGAUUAGCUAGUAGGUGGGGUAACGGCUCACCUAGGCGACGAUCCCUAGCUGGUCUGAGAGGAUGACCAGCCACACUGGAACUGAGACACGGUCCAGAUUCCUACGGGAGGCAGCAGUGGGGAAUAUUGCACAAUGGGCGCAAGCCUGAUGCAGCCAUGCCGCGUGUAUGAAGAAGGCCUUCGGGUUGUAAAGUACUUUCAGCGGGGAGGAAGGGAGUAAAGUUAAUACCUUUGCUCAUUGACGUUACCCGCAGAAGAAGCACCGGCUAACUCCGUG